GACGAACGCUGGCGGCGUGCUUAACACAUGCAAGUGGAGCGACGAACCAGGGCUUGCCCUGGGGCAGAGCCGCGAACGGGUGAGUAACACGUGGGUAACGUGCCCCGAUGAUCGGGACGAACCCGGGGAAACCCGGGCGUAAUACCGAAUGUGCUCCCCUCACACCAGUGAGGGAGUGGAAAGGAAGCUUCGGCCUCCGCAUCGGGAGUCGGCCCGCCGGCCCACUUAGUCUUGUUGGUGAGGUAACGGCUCACCAAGGCUGCGAUGGGUAGCUGGUCUGAGAGGACGGAUCAGCCACACUGGGACUGAGACACGGCCCAGACUCCUACGGGAGGCAGCAGUGGGGAAUCUUGCGCAAUGCGCGAAAGCGUGACGCAGCAACGCCGCGUGGGGGAAGACGGCCU
rnacentral:rRNA from 1 species